GCACGGGUGAGUACCGCGUAAAUAUCUACCUUGAUGUCUGGGAUAAACCCAGCCGAAAGGCUGACUAAUUACCGCCUAUAUUACUUCAUUGUUGGGGUGAAGGUAGAAAAGGUGGCCUUCCUUCUUGAAAAGCAUAUCGCAUUUGGGAAUGAGUUUGCGUACCAUUAAGCUUAGUUGGGGUGGGGGUAAACGGGCCCACCCAAGGGCAACGAUGUUUAGCGGUGUUCUGAGGAGGAAUGAUCCCGUCACCACUGGGCACGUGGAACCGCGGGCCCGGAUCUCUCUACGGGGAGGGCAGGCAGUGAGGGAAUAUUUGCCGCAAUGGGGGGAAACCCUUGACGCAAGCGACGCCCGCCGUGAGUGAGGAAGCCCUUCGGGUCCGUAAAGCUUCUGUCAAGAUGGNAAAAAGGUGCAUAUUUGGUUAAUCCCCUAUAUGUUUGACGGUACCAUCAAAGGAAGCACCGGCUAACUCCGUGCCAGCAGCCGCGGUAAUACGGAGGGUGCAAGCGUUGUUCGGAAUCACUGGGCGUAAAGGGCGCGCAGGCGGUUUCAUAAGUCAGAUGUGAAAGCCCACGGCUUAACCGUGGAAGUGCAUUUGAAACUGUGAGACUUGAGUACCAGAGGGGAAGGUGGAAUUCCCGGUGUAGAGGUGAAAUUCGUAGAUAUCGGGAGGAAUACCGGUGGCGAAGGCGACUUUCUGGCUGGAUACUGACGCU
rnacentral:rRNA from 1 species